GUUGAAAUUGAGUCGAAGGACGGUAGGGAUGAAUAUUUUGUGGGGUUUGAAAAUUCUGAGGGUUUUGAAAAUUUUGGAAGUAGGGUUGGGCAGUAUUCGAAGCUUGCUGCUUCCAAAAAAAGUUUGGAUGGUUGCGCCAUCCCGGGUUAUAUGUAUUGAAAAAUGGGUCAUUACCUGGUCUGGGCUGUGUUUGAGCAGCAUUGAUGUGUUCUUGCACGAGUU
rnacentral:lncRNA from 1 species